rnacentral:rRNA from 1 species
AGAGUUUGAUCCUGGCUCAGGAUGAACGCUGGCGGCGUGCUUAACACAUGCAAGUCGAGCGGAGCACAUCAUUGGAAUCCUUCGGGAGGAAGAGGAUGUGGCUUAGCGGCGGACGGGUGAGUAACGCGUGGACAACCUGCCCUAUGCAGGGGGAUAACAUCCGGAAACGGGUGCUAAUACCGCAUAAGCGCACGGUACCGCAUGGUACGGUGUGAAAAGCUGAGGCGGCAUAGGAUGGGUCCGCGUUGGAUUAGGCAGUUGGCGGGGUAACGGCCCACCAAACCGACGAUCCAUAGCCGGCCUGAGAGGGUGGACGGCCACAUUGGGACUGAGACACGGCCCAGACUCCUACGGGAGGCAGCAGUGGGGAAUAUUGCACAAUGGGGGGAACCCUGAUGCAGCGACGCCGCGUGGGUGAGGAAGUACUUCGGUAUGUAAAGCCCUAUCAGCAGGGAGGAAAAUGACGGUACCUGACUAAGAAGCCCCGGCUAACUACGUGCCAGCAGCCGCGGUAAUACGUAGGGGGCAAGCGUUAUCCGGAUUUUACUGGGUGUAAAAGGG